rnacentral:tRNA from 1 species
GCGUUAUUGGUUUAAUGGUAGAACAUCAGUCUUCCAAACUGAGGGUACGGGUUCGAUUCCCAUAUAGCGCUUA